rnacentral:rRNA from 1 species
CAAAAACAUGUCUUCUUGAUAGGAAGUCUGACCUGCCCGGUGAAAUUUAACGGCCGCGGUAUUUUGACCGUGCAAAGGUAGCAUAAUCAUUAGUCUUUUAAUAGAGGGCUGGAAUGAAGGGUUUGACGAAAUGCUUACUGUCUCAUUUAAUUUGAAAUUUGAAUUUGACUUUUUAGUUAAAAGGCUAAAUUGUUGUUGGAAGACGAGAAGACCCUAUAGAGCUUUAUAUAUAUUUUGUUGGGGUGACAAAAAUAUAGAAUAAACUUUUUUAUUUAUUUAACAUUGAUAUAUGAAUAUUAGAUCCAUUAUUAUUGAUUGUUAGAGAAAGUUACCUUAGGGAUAACAGCGUAAUCUUCCUCCAGAGUUCAAAUUUACAAGGCUUGCGACCUCGAUGUUGGAUUAAGAUAAUAAUUAGGUGCAGCCGCUUAAUUAAU